rnacentral:rRNA from 1 species
UCCUACGGGAGGCAGCAGUAGGGAAUCUUCCGCAAUGGGCGAAAGCCUGACGGAGCAACGCCGCGUGAGUGAUGAAGGUCUUCGGAUCGUAAAAUUCUGUUAUUGGGGAAGAACAAAUGUGUAAGUAACUAUGCACGUCUUGACGGUACCUAAUCAGAAAGCCACGGCUAACUACGUGCCAGCAGCCGCGGUAAUACGUGGGUGGCAAGCGUUAUCCGGAAUUAUUGGGCGUAAAGCGCGCGUAGGCGGUUUUUUAAGUCUGAUGUGAAAGCCCACGGCUCAACCGUGGAGGGUCAUUGGAAACUGGAAAACUUGAGUGCAGAAGAGGAAAGUGGAAUUCCAUGUGUAGCGGUGAAAUGCGCAGAGAUAUGGAGGAACACCAGUGGCGAAGGCGACUUUCUGGUCUGUAACUGACGCUGAUGUGCGAAAGCGUGGGGAUCAAACAGGAUUAGAUACCCUGGUAGUCCACGCCGUAAACGAUGAGUGCUAAGUGUUAGGGGGUUUCCGCCCCUUAGUGCUGCAGCUAAC